rnacentral:lncRNA from 1 species
AAGGUGAUGUGUCUGGAAUCGGUGAAUUCUUGGUUUCGCUGACUUCAAGAAUGAAGCCACGGACCGGCGGUACCAGGCUCUUGGAGCCUUACAUUCUUCAGUGUUAGAAGAAUCAGCUUCUUAAUAUCUACCAAGAAAAACCCCAACAAGACAAAAAACAAAUCCUCCUGGAUCUUUGAUUGUGAUUGCAUUCUUAUGGUAGGAGAUGAGCCCGUGAUUUUAAAGU